UGGAUGCACCUCGGCUUGUCGGUCAAAGGGAACGAGUAACAAAAUCUGAUUAGAUACAUCAAUUUUAUUGAAUGUUUUUGAAAGAACGUAAGAAGCAAUUAAUUCUAUUGUACUAACUUUUUAAUUUUAUUCGCAAGUUAACGAGGAGAGAAUGCUAAAUCAACUCCGUUUUCGUUAUAAAAUAUUUGAUGAACACGAAAUAAAUUAUUAGAAUGCCAUACAUAAUGGUAGAACAAAGGAAGAUCCAAAGUUGGAUAUGGCAUAUUAUAUAGUAGGUAUAAUGAACGAUAACAUAAAAUGUAAUAUUUGUCCUAAAGCGUUUACGUUUUUUUAGUUAUAUUUAUAGUUUGUUUUAUUUUGCUUAAAAAUUUAGAGUUUAACAUUGUUUUAAACAUUCUUCCUUGAGUAAUGAUAAAUACCUCGACAAUGUAUUCCGUGAUGGAUAAUAAUUUAAUUUCAAUUUCGGCUUAAUUUCGAUUAAAUCUAAUUCAUCGCGAUAUUAAAUACUAUCUUCUCACUCUGUUACGGAGAUAUAGAUUUUUACCAAACAAAUCAAAAUCCUUGUUUGCACAAUUUGUAAACAUCAAAAUAUAUAGAGAAAUUAUAUCGUGUA